AGAGUUUGAUCCUGGCUCAGAUUGAACGCUAGCGGCAGGCUUAAUACAUGCAAGUCGAGGGGCAGCACGGUUAGCAAUAACUGGUGGCGACGGCGCACGGGUGCGUAACACGUAUACAAUCUACCUUAAACAGGGGGAUAGCCUUUCGAAAGAGAGAUUAAUACCCCGUAAUAAAUUGAACGGCAUCGUUUGAUUUGAAAGCUCCGGCGGUUUGAGAUGAGUAUGCGUCUGAUUAGCUAGUUGGUGAGGUAACGGCUCACCAAGGCGACGAUCAGUAGGGGACCUGAGAGGACUAACCCCCACACUGGUACUGAGACACGGACCAGACUCCUACGGGAGGCAGCAGUAAGGAAUAUUGGUCAAUGGAGGCAACUCUGAACCAGCCAUGCCGCGUGCAGGAUGACGGCCCUAUGGGUUGUAAACUGCUUUUAUACAAGAGAAAAACCCUGGUACGUGUACCAAGUUGAUAGUAUUGUAAGAAUAAGCAUCGGCUAACUUCGUG
rnacentral:rRNA from 1 species